rnacentral:tRNA from 1 species
GGCGGUGUAGCUCAGUCGGUAGAGCAGCGGCUUCAUAAGCCGCGCGUCGCCGGUUCAAGUCCGGCCACCGCUACCA